UAUCUCUUUUUAUGGAUUUUGUCUCUCUAGGAUCAUUCUCUCUCUCUGAUUGUAUCACAGACCCUAGGAUAAACUUGAGAUGAAAAUAUGAUAAUCUGAGACUGCUCCAAAAUUCGUGCAGUAGAUCAGAUCCUGAUCCGAUCCUUCUUCGAAAUUGAUAACAUCGAUCAUGAUUAAUCCAUAUUAAGUCACCCUGAUAUAACCUCUGAUGAUCUCAAUCAUGAUUGCCACUUUUGAAGGAUACGAAGAUUCUCUCUCCACUUUCUCUCUCUACUUUCUCUCUCAUGAUUGACUUUCUCUCUCUAAGAAGGUCUAUGAAUCUUGUACCAAAUCCUGCCUUCAUCUUUUAGGGGUUCAUAUUGACUCUAACAAGAUGAUCUGAAGUUGCUAUGAUAUCCGUACUGUAUGUCAACCUCAUUUGAUCAUAUCAAGGAUCUUUCAAACUCAUUAUUAAAGAACCCUAUUGAUUAAUCUUGACCUUAAUUCGAUAUGUGCUUCACGAUUUCUUAAUCAAGUCACUUAAAUCUGACCUUCAG
rnacentral:lncRNA from 1 species